rnacentral:rRNA from 1 species
UAUUGGACAAUGGGGGCAACCCUGAUCCAGCAAUGCCGCGUGUGUGAAGAAGGCCUGCGGGUUGUAAAGCACUUUAGUUGGCGAGGAAGUUAUUCGUUUAAAUAGAGCGGAUAGUUGACGUUACCCAAAGAAUAAGCACCGGCUAACUCUGUGCCAGCAGCCGCGGUAAUACAGAGGGUGCGAGCGUUAAUCGGAAUUACUGGGCGUAAAGCGUGCGCAGGCGGUUUCGUAAGCUGGAGGUGAAAUCCCCGGGCUUAACCUGGGAAUGGCCUACAGGACUGCGAGGCUAGAGUGCGGCAGAGGGAGGUGGAAUUCCACGUGUAGCAGUGAAAUGCGUAGAGAUGUGGAGGAACACCGAUGGCGAAGGCAGCCUCCUGGGCCAGCACUGACGCUCAUGCACGAAG